rnacentral:tRNA from 1 species
AGGGUAAUAGUUAAUUAUAACAUUUAAUUUGCACUUAAAAAGUAUUGAUUAUUCAAUUUACCUU